AUUGAACGCUGGCGGCAUGCCUUACACAUGCAAGUCGAACGGCAGCACGGGUGCUUGCACCUGGUGGCGAGUGGCGAACGGGUGAGUAAUACGUCGGAACGUACCUUAUCGUGGGGGAUAACGCAGCGAAAGCUGUGCUAAUACCGCAUAAUCCCUAAGGGGGAAAGCGGGGGACCGUAAGGCCUCGCGCAAUUAGAGCGGCCGAUACCUGAUUAGCUAGUUGGGGAGGUAAAGGCUCACCAAGGCAACGAUCAGUAGCUGGUCUGAGAGGACGAUCAGCCACACUGGGACUGAGACACGGCCCAGACUCCUACGGGAGGCAGCAGUGGGGAAUUUUGGACAAUGGGGGCAACCCUGAUCCAGCAAUGCCGCGUGAGUGAAGAAGGCCUUCGGGUUGUAAAGCUCUUUUGUCAGGGAAGAAACAGCAGCUCUAACACAGUAUGCGAAUGACGGUACCUGAAGAAUAAGCACCGGCUAACUACGUGCCAGCAGCCGCAGUAA
rnacentral:rRNA from 1 species